rnacentral:lncRNA from 1 species
GUAAAUUCCACGUAAGCAGAAAUCGUCGUAAAUACCUCGUAAGCCAACGAGGAAAUAACGACGAAAUUUAAAAAUAAAGAUGGAGUUUAGAAUAUAUGAAAAUAAGGAAUAUGGAAUUUGGGGUUUGGGGUUUGAGGUUUCAGGUUUGAGGUUUGGGGUUUGGAAUAUGGGGUUUGGGGUUUCGGGUUUGGGGUUUGGGGUUUUGGGUUUGGGGUUUGGGGUUUAGAGGUUUCGGGGUUUGAGGUUUGGGGUUUGGGGUUUCAGGUUUGGGGUUUGGGGUUCGGGGUUUGGGGUUUAGAGGUUUCGGAUUUUAGGGAUUUAAACAUAAUACUCGUUAAUUCCACGUAAGCAGAAAUCGUCGUAAACACCACGUAAAAGGAUUUAAACAAAACACUCGUUAAUUCCACGUAAGCCCAAAUCGUCGUAAAGACCACGUUGGAUGAAAUCGUCGUAAAUACCACGUUGGAUGAAAUCGUCGUAAAUACCUCGUAGUGUAAAAACUAGAAAAAAAAGGAAAAGGAGAAAAAUAUCAGAUUAACAUGUGGCAAGACUUCCAGCAAUUAUAAUACGUAAGUCUCGCCCACAUGAAUUCUAAUAUCUUCUCAUUUUUCUAUUUUUUUCAAAUAUUUAUAAUUUGAAUAUGAUUUUGCUGAAGAAUGUGAUUUGAGAUAGGGUGUGAUUUGGGAGUUUGUGUGUGGUUUGAGAAUGAGAGUUGUGGGUAUAUUUAUAGGAAAGCAAGGCUCGUUAAUUCCACGUAAGUAAAAUCGUCGUUAAUACCUCGUAUAUAAAAACACGGGCCUU